UCCCUGGUGGUCCAGUGGCUGAAACUCUGAGCUCCCAACGCAGAGGGUCCUGGGUUCAAUCCCUGGUCAGGGAA
rnacentral:tRNA from 1 species